UGAACUCUACAAAGUUUGUGUAACUAAUGUUGAAGAAAGACGAAAUGAUCUAGAACCAAAAGAGAAAUUCUAACACAACUCAGGACACUUGUUUUCCAAUGUGAUCUUACCCUUAAAGCUGUGAGUGAUUUCUUCAGUAUUUUUGAAGACUAGAGAGGAGAAAAAAGCCUUCUUAUCUGUAGAAGGAAGAGGGAUACUUGAUAAGUUGAUUCUUAUGAGAUUUAAAUUCUGAGAGCAAUAGAGCAUGUUUAAAGAUUGGCUUUCAGUUUUCAUGAGUGACAUAGUUUGAUUUAUUUUUGAUCUGUCUCCCCUCUACAUCCCCUAGAUUCAUGAUUCUCUUAGUUUCAACUGAACUGUGAAAAUUUGAAAUUGCCUCUAAGCCACUUUUUUGCCUUGAUUGAUAAAUUUGAUUUGACCCUGUAACUUCUGUCAGCUGAGUGACAGAAGAGAGAUCUAGUCUUCAAAAUUUGAGUAAAAUAAAUAUUAAAAUUAAACCCAGUGAUAUAUUUGAAGACCUAGCAUUCAGCCUGCAUUUGUUUUCAUUACCUCUUUAAAAUGUUUUUUAUAAAAUAUUUACAUAUCCAAAACCUUCUUGGUGUAGUUUAUAAGUUUUAACACACAUAUAAAUUUGUGUAACUAUCACCAUAGUCAAGAUUUGGAACAAUUUCAUCACUUCAAUAAUAUUCUUUUUGCUGGGCACUGUAGUGUGUGCCUGUAAUUCCAAGGACACUGGAGCAGAAGGAUAGCAAGUUCAAGGCCAGCCUGGGGAUGUAAUUUAGUGAUAAAAAUACUCCUGGCUUCAAUCCCCAGUUUAAAACACACACACACACACACACACACACACACAUACACACACGUAUAUACUGUUGCGGCAGGUAUGGUGGCACACACCUGCCAUUCCAGCUACUCAGAAGGCGGAGGCUGGAGGAUCUCCAAGCCCGAGGCCAUCCUGGGCACUUAGUGAGAAUGUAUUUCAAAAUAAAUGGGCUCAGGGGCUGAGGUUGUGGAUCAGUGGUAGCGCACUUGCCUAGCAUGUGUGAGGCACUGGGUUCAAUUCUUGGUACCACAUAUAAAUAAAUGAAUAAAAUACAGGUCCAUCAACAUCUGAAAAAUGUUUAAAACAAAAAUGGGCUCAGGAAGUAUGUAGCUCAGUGGCAGAAUACCUGCCUAGCACGUGCAAGACCCUGCUGGGUUCAAUCCUCAGUGCCACAAAAAAAGUUCUUUCAUGCUACACCUUUAUAAUCAAACUCUCCCAUCUUGCCCUAACCCCUGGCAAGUUCAAUUGUGUUCUCAUCUCAUUACUUCAGUCUUUUCCAGAAGUUAUAUAAAUGUAAUCAUAUAGUAGGUAACCUUUGGAAACAGGCUUCUUUUACACAGCCUAAUGCCUUUGAAAUUCCUCAGUGUUAUGCAUGUAUCAACAGUCCAUUUCUUUGUGUUGUUGAACAGUAGUCCACUAUAUGACUACACCACAGUGUUUAUCCAUUUACAAAAAAAAAAAGUUGGAUAUUUGUGUUGUUUCUAGUUUGGGGCAAUUAUGCAUAGAGCUAUAUGAAUAUUUAUUUACAGGCUUUUGUUGAAUAUGUUUUUAUUAUUUUAAGUAACCUAGGAGUGGGUUUUACUGGUUAAUAUUGCUAAAUGCAUGUUUAACUCAAUAAGAAACUGCCAAACUAUUUUCCAGAGUGGUUGUAAUCAGUGGUGCAUGAGAAUUCCAGUUAUUCUGUGUCCUUGACAUUUGUCAUUUCUUGUUUUUACAUCUUAGCUAUUCUAACAGAUGGGUAGUAUUAUCUAAUUGUGGCUUCAAUUUGUGUUUCCAGAAUGACUGAUGAUAUUUUUAAAAAUGUUUAAAAGGCUCAUUUGUAAUCUGUACUUUUCCUAUCUAAUUUAAUUUUUUAUUGAGUUGUUUGUUUUCUGUUGUUGAGCUUCUCCCAUUCACAGCUUCUUUUUACAAUUUUAGCAAAGUCUUCCAUGGAGCAAAAGAUUUUAAUUUGGAUGGAGUCUAGCUUAUUUCUUCUUUUAUGGGUCAUGUUUUUGAUGUUAUAUCUAAGAAUAAAAUACUUCAUCUAACCCAAAGUUUUUUCCUAAAAGUUUUAUUUAUUUGUCUUAUUUAUUUAUUUAUUUAUUUACUUUUGAAUUAUGGAUUAAACCCAGGGGCUCUUUACCACUGAGCUACAUCCCCCAGUCCUUUUAUUUUUAAACAGUAUCUCACUAAGUUACUAAGGCUACACAUGAACUUGCAAGGAUCCUCCUGUAUG
rnacentral:lncRNA from 1 species